AGCUGGGUUCAGAACGUCGUGAGACAGUUCGGUCCCUAUCCGGCGCGGGCGCAGGAUAUUUGAGAGGAGCCGUCCCUAGUACGAGAGGACCGGGAUGGACUGGCCGCUGGUGUAUCUGUUAGGAAUCAAUCCUAUGGCAGAGUAGCCAAGCCGGGAGGGGAUAAACGCUGAAGGCAUCUAAGCGUGAAGCCCCCCUCAAGAUGAGAUAUCCCAUUCGAAAGAAGUAAGACCCCUUAAAGAGUAUGAGGUUGAUAGGGCAGAGGUGGAAGUGCAGUAAUGCAUGGAGCUGACUGUCACUAAUAGGUCGAGGGCUUAUCCA
rnacentral:rRNA from 1 species